GACGAACGCUGGCGGCGUGCCUAAUACAUGCAAGUCGAACGCAAAACUUUCACCGAAUGCUUGCAUUCACGAAAGUUUUGAGUGGCGAACGGGUGAGUAACACGUGGGUAACCUACCCAGAAGAGGGGGAUAACACUUGGAAACAGGUGCUAAUACCGCAUAAUAACAAAAACCGCAUGGUUUCUGCUUGAAAGAUGGUUUUGCUAUCACUUCUGGAUGAACCCGCGGCGUAUUAGCUAGUUGGUAAGGUAAAGGCUUACUAAGGCAAUGAUACGUAGCCGAACUGAGAGGUUGAUCGGCCACAUUGGGACUGAGACACGGCCCAAACUCCUACGGGAGGCAGCAGUAGGGAAUCUUCCACAAUGGACGAAAGUCUGAUGGAGCAACGCCGCGUGAGUGAAGAAGGUUUUCGGAUCGUAAAACUCUGUUGUUAGAGAAGAACGUGUGUGAGAGUAACUGCUCAUGCAGUGACGGUAUCUAACCAGAAAGCCACGGCUAACUACGUGCCAGCAGCCGCCGUAA
rnacentral:rRNA from 1 species